UUUAUUGAGCGAGAAAGUACUAGCACACCAGGACUGCAUUCAAGGGGGGAUCUCAAGAUGCAGCCCCGAGCCAUCUCAGAAGGCUGCUUUUAAACCCCAAAACCACAGGAAUUUUCCCUUUUGCCUAAUUGUAGUGGCUCGUGAAUUUCAAGAAGUGUCCAGGAACCAGUUCAUUACUUUUGAGAAAUAUCCAGAAACCAGUUUCAUUACUUUCCAGGAAUGCCCAGAAACUGGUUUCAAACAGGUCAGUGCAUCUUGACCAUAAUGGAAACCAUCUAGCCAUCUGGUGACAAAACAGGAUGUGGCUCUCCUGGGGGGUGGGGGGGACAGUUACAGGUAUGGGUGAUACAGAGCAAAACAGGUGUGGGAAAUUGCCAACUACAUAAUACUGGGCAA